AUGACUGAGAGCUGCUGCUCAGAGACUUCACCCACAGCAACCAUGAGUUUGAUCAGCGUCUUCAUCUGCACACUGGCCCUCUGCGCUCGAGGAUCCAGAGGUCAGGUGACUGUGACUCAGAGUCCUGCAGUGAAAUCUGUUUCUCCAGGAGACACACUCACCAUCAGCUGUAAAACCAGUCCUGCUGUUUUCUAUGGUGGUGGUUAUUAUUUGUCCUGGUAUCAGCAGAAAGCUGGAGAAGCUCCUAAACUCCUGAUCUAUGGUGUUAACAGGAGAGAAUCCGGUAUUCCAGCUCGUUUCAGUGGCAGUGGAUCUGGAUCUGAUUUCACUCUGACCAUCAGUGGAGUCCAGACUGAAGAUGCUGGAGAUUAUUACUGUCAGAGUUACCAUGAGAUCAGUAGUAGUGCGGUGUUCACACAGUGUUAAAGCGUCGUACAAAAA